GGAACAGUAUGUCAUAUAUGCAUGAACUUGAUUGAUGUAUUGAUGUAUAAUGAACUGAAGAUAUAAUGAAUUCAAUCAGGUUAAAAAAAAUGUAUGUGCAAAAGCGACUCGAAGACGAUUUAGAUUUGUCUCCUGAAUAUAAAACUUCCAAGAAGUACAUCAUAUAUGAAUAUCCUGUAUCCUCGCAUUUGAUGUAUUGAACUGGCGAUAGAAUGAAAUCAGUCAGUGUU